rnacentral:rRNA from 1 species
UCAGGUAGGAAUACCCGCUGAACUUAAGCAUAUCAAUAAGCGGAGGAAAGG